CCCUUAGAUGUUCUGGGCCGCACGCGCGCUACAAUGAUGAAUUCAACGAGUUUAUAACCUUGGUUGAAAAGCCUGGGUAAUCUUUUGAACUUUCGUCGUGAUGGGGCUAGACCCUUGCAAUUAUUGGUCUCCAACGAGGAAUUCCUAGUAAACGCAAGUCAUCAGCUUGCAUUGAUUACGUCCCUGCCCUUUGUACACACCGCCCGUCGCACCUACCGAUUGAAUGGUCCGGUGAAAUCUUCGGAUUGAGACUUUGAUUUGUUUACUCAAAACGCUGUUUCAAGAAGUUGAUUAAACCUUACCAUUUAGAGGAAGGUGAAGGCGUAACA
rnacentral:rRNA from 1 species